rnacentral:lncRNA from 1 species
CCAUUACCUUAAAGUUCUCCUGCCUCUGCUCAAAUGCAAGGAACUUCUGGUCCUGUCUCCUUCCCCAUCUCUUCAUUGUUCAGUGUCUGGCAACAGCAGAGCCCAACAAGCUCCCAGGAUGCUUUAGAGGGAUGCUGCUCAAAAAAAUGCAAACCACCACACAGCUACAUUGUGCCGUGCAGCUGGACAUGUGAUGUGUUCUGCUGGCUCUCAGAUGACUUCAAGUCCUUCUUCGGCAUUUAAUUGUAACCAUAUGGAUUCAGGUUCAAAAUGAGGGCACCGCUAAGAUGAGUGAACUGCCUAUAGCUCUGAUGCGCAGCAAAUUCGUAAGAGAAGAACCGGACCUCUUUUCUCUCCACCCAGAACAACGAAUGCCUGCAGGGGCAGCCAUCUUAUAGGAAUAUCCAAAGAGCAUAAGCAGGGAAGGCUGUAUUUCACCAGCUCCACUCCGAUCAAGAGCAGAGAAGUGGACAAAACUAGAAGCAGAGGUCAAGUUCAAGAAUGGAGAACCCCAACUCAAUCUGUAACUGCUCAGCAACAUAUGUUCCACCCUCAACAACACAGCUCCACAACAACAUGGAUGUUUGAAUCUAAUUUAGAUUCUCAGACUCCUCUUAAGUCUGUGCCAGAGUGUACAAGCAGAUGCAAGUAGGGAGUGCUGGCCCCUGGACCAGUUUCUUCCCAUCCCUCUUUUGUCUUGCUUACCCCUAGGAUUUGUGUCCACAAGUUAGCCAUUGUUAUUGUUGUCCCUACAAAUUAAUUGGUAAGAUUUGCUGUCUUGGAAUAGUUUGUGAAGAUUUUCUGAGGUCUUGAACCAGGUUUCUAAUUAGAGGGAUUUUUGCCCUUAGUUUGUUUCUGAGUCUGCUAUGAGUAUUGCUUCUGCUUGGAGCUGCUGGAUGUAGUCAUCGUGGUUAACUUGUUCAGGCCAAUAAUUGCUGCCUGGGGAACUGUGUUGAGGAGCCUAAGCCAAAUUUGGAAACAAUGCCAUGGUCAGCUAGCAAUGUCUGCCC